AGGCCGGGCACACUCCAUGACUUCCACAGUCAUGAAAUUGCAGAGCAGCUCACUCUGUUGGAUGCUGAACUCUUCUACAAAAUAGAGAUACCAGAGGUUCUGCUUUGGGCAAAAGAGCAAAAUGAGGAGAAGAGCCCAAACCUCACUCAGUUCACUGAGCACUUUAACAACAUGUCAUACUGGGUCCGAUCGAUCAUUAUGCUUCAGGAAAAAGCACAAGAUCGGGAGAGGCUGCUGCUUAAAUUCAUAAAGAUCAUGAAGCACCUGAGGAAGCUAAACAAUUUCAACUCGUACCUUGCCAUCUUGUCUGCUCUGGAUUCUGCACCCAUCCGCAGACUGGAGUGGCAG